UACGGAGGAUGCAAGCGUUAUCCGGAAUGAUUGGGCGUAAAGCGUCCGCAGGUGGCAAUGUAAGUCUGCUGUUAAAGAGUCUAGCUCAACUAGAUAAAAGCAGUGGAAACUACAUAGCUAGAGUACGUUCGGGGCAGAGGGAAUUCCUGGUGUAGCGGUGAAAUGCGUAGAUAUCGGGAGGAACACCAGUGGCGAAGGCGGGCAUCUGGGCCAACACUGACGCUGAGGCGCGAAAGCUAGGGGAGCAAACAGG
rnacentral:rRNA from 1 species